UUCCGAUGGUCACUCCACGAGGAAGAGGAAGAGGAAGUUGAGGAGGAAGAGGAAGAGGAGGAGGAGAACACGAGACGAAAGGAUUAUUUGCAAGAGGAACACCUUUAAGCUUCGUAACGUGUACUCACGUUGCGGUGUCUGUCAUAGUUGACGGAGAACCUCGCGUCCUUGCUGUACGUCUGGCGGCCCACGGUGAUGAGGUGGUGGUCGCGCAGGCGAAUCCACGACACCUGGGAACGACAAGGCCAGACAGGUAAGGAGUCCCCAGCGAAGGAGGGAAUAGCGGAAAGGAAGUAGAGAUAAGGUAAGAUUGUAUAAAAUGUAAGAUUGGAACUAUUCUUGUGCAGUUUUUGUUGUAUAAGUUUUUUUCUGAGUGGAUUGGAGAAAUAGAAGGAAGGAAGGAAG